rnacentral:rRNA from 1 species
AAACUUUCAACAAUGGAUCUCUUGGUUCCGGCAUCGAUGAAGAACGCAGCGAACUGCGAUAAUUAAUGUGAAUUGCAGAAUUCAGUGAAUCAUCGAGUCUUUGAACGCACAUU